UGGGCAGGGCCUUGCUGAGAACCCCUGGCUGGGCACCUGCUGCGGGUUCAUCUACGCGUUCCCUCAGCUGCCUCCUUUCAACCUUGUCCACCCCAUUGCGGCCUCUGGUGCCGCGGUGGUGGUUCCUGUUCCUGCCGCAGCUCUCUCCCCUUUUUCCCUCUCCACCAGAUCGCGGAGUUCACUCACCACGGUUUUACCCAGGUGGCUGCCAGGCUCUUGGGAAGCAACAGUGCAUCUUGUCUUGUUCUUGCUGCCUGGCAUGCCAGUGCUUCCUCCAAGAGUUUGAAAGACAUAUUGGCUGACCCGAUAGUUAAGGAGCAGGCCAGAAUUAAGACCUUCAGGCAGCAACAUGGCAAGAAGGUGGUGGGCCAAAUCACUGCAGACAUAAUGUAUGGCGGCAUGAGAGGCAUUAAGGGAUUGGUGUAUAAAACAUCAGUUCUUGAUCCUGAUGAGGGUGUCCGUUUCCGAGGCUUCGGUAUCCCUGAAUACCAAAAACUGCUACCCAAGGCUAAGGGUGGGGAAGAACCCCUACCCAGGGGCUUAUUUCGGCUGCUGGUAACUGGACAGAUCCCAAGAGAGGAACAGGUGUCUUGGCUCUCAAGAGAGUGGGCAAAGAGGGCAGCUCUACCUUCCCAUGUGGUCACCAUGCUGGACAACUUUCCCACCAAUCCACACCCGUGUCUGAGCUCAGUGCAGCCUGGCAGCCCUAAACAACUUUGCCUGAGCAUAUCCAGAGGGUGCCAGUCAAACCAAGUACUGGGAGUUGAUUUAUGAAGACCAUGCGUAUCUAAUCACAAAGCUACCUUGUAUUGCAGAAAAGGUCUACCGAAAUAUCUGUGGAGAGGGCAGUGGUAUUGGGGCCACUGAGUCUGAGCUGGACCGGUCCCACAGUUUCACCAACAUGUUAGGCUAUACUGAUGCUCAGUUCACUGAGCUCAUGCACCUGUAGCUCACCAUCCACAGUGACCAUGAGCGGGCUGGCAGGUCCUCUACAUGGACUGGCAAAUCAGGAAGUGCUUGUCUGGCUAACACAACUACAGAAGGAAGUUGGCAAAUAUGUGUCAGAUGA